rnacentral:rRNA from 1 species
ACGCACGCUGGCGGCAUGCCUAACACAUGCAAGUCGAACGAGACCUUCGGGUCUAGUGGCGCACGGGUGCGUCACGCGUGGGAACCUGCCCUUAGGUUCGGAAUAACUCCCCGAAAGGGGUGCUAAUACCGGAUAAUGUCUUCGGACCAAAGAUUUAUCGCCUUUGGAUGGGCCCGCGUUGGAUUAGCUAGUUGGUAGGGUAAAAGCCUACCAAGGCGACGAUCCAUAGCUGGUCUGAGAGGAUGAUCAGCCACACUGGGACUGAGACACGGCCCAGACUCCUACGGGAGGCAGCAGUGGGGAAUAUUGGACAAUGGGCGAAAGCCUGAUCCAGCAAUGCCGCGUGAGUGAUGAAGGCCUUAGGGUUGUAAAGCUCUUUUACCCGGGAUGAUAAGGACAGGACCGGGAGAAUAAGCUCCGGCUAACUCCGG